AUUGAACGCUGGCGGCAGGCCUAACACAUGCAAGUCGAGCGGAUGAAGGGAGCUUGCUCCUGGAUUCAGCGGCGGACGGGUGAGUAAUGCCUAGGAAUCUGCCUGGUAGUGGGGGAUAACGUCCGGAAACGGGCGCUAAUACCGCAUACGUCCUGAGGGAGAAAGUGGGGGAUCUUCGGACCUCACGCUAUCAGAUGAGCCUAGGUCGGAUUAGCUAGUUGGUGGGGUAAAGGCCUACCAAGGCGACGAUCCGUAACUGGUCUGAGAGGAUGAUCAGUCACACUGGAACUGGGACACGGUCCCGACUCCUACGGGAGGCAGGAGGGGGGAAUAUUGGACAAUGGGCGAAAGCCUGAUCCAGCCAUGCCGCGUGUGUGAAGAAGGUCUUCGGAUUGUAAAGCACUUUAAGUUGGGAGGAAGGGCAGUAAGUUAAUACCUUGCUGUUUUGACGUUACCAACAGAAUAAGCACCGGCUAACUUCGUG
rnacentral:rRNA from 1 species